UGCAGACUACCUGUAAGCAGCCCAUAAAAACCAUUACACAAGUUAAGGCUCUUGGCAUCAGGUCUGCAGUUUAUAGAUAGCUCCUCUUCUCUUUGACAGGUAUAGAGAUCCCAAAACUUGGAAAAGAACUUGGAAAGCCACUGGCUUCAAACAUGCUGUGAUUAAACUGAUGCUCAAGAAACGCUACAAAGUCCUACCAAAAGACCCAACCACACACAACUGCAUCUCUUGAGCUCUACAGUCACGAUAUUGCCACCUAAGGGCAGUGUGAAGCCCUCGCCUUCUGCUCCUAAACAGACAGUAACUGCAGCACCACAGACACAGAACUCACCAGUCCUCAUCAUCCGAUGUGGCAAGCACAGAUUCUGCACGUCUUGUUCGGGUUGUCCUUGCAAGCUUUACACACAGGUCCAAUGCGGCCUGCGAGCAGAAAGAAACCACAGCUCCCUUCAAGCACCAAGAUACACUGGGAACAGACAGAGGUGGUACAGCUGCAGGGGUCCUGGAACUCAGACCUUGGAUCCUCACAGAGACAAUGAGAACAUCCCAAGGAUCUCUGCAUCGUACCAGAACCCUCUCUCAUUUGGCUCAUCGGGGUUGUAGUUGACCAUCACCACCUGCCCCACUUCCAGCUGGUGCCACUUCAAGAUAGUCCGUGCACGAGCCCGUACAUCAUUGGAGCCCAACUGCACAACUCCGUUCUCUGGAUAGCUUGGAGCAGAGGGAAGGCAGGGAGGGACAGAGAAGGAAAAUCAGAUUCAACAUCACAGCUGUUCCAAGUGAUGGAUUUUAUCCAGACAGGUCAAUUUACGAGCUGAUGCAACAUGCAAUUUCCCACUCAGACACAGCCAGAAUGGGGCACUCUGGCUCUGCUGCUAUUGUAUCCCACUUGGAUAACAGCAUUUCAUAGUUCUAAAAACCUGACUCCAAGCCCCUGGAAUUCCAGCUGUAAGACAAACUGACAGCUCCCAGGGCUCAGUUACUGCAUCAGCCCAGUUCUGGCUUACUCUGUGGAGCUCUAAAAUCAGAUUUCCCAUCAACAUCAUGAUCCAAAUGGACAAGAAGGGAACAAAACUCACUCCUCAUACUUGACGUGGUAUAUGACAUCUUCUUCAGGAAUGGCUCUCGGCUGCUCAGGAUCUGAGCAGCUCUCAGCUGAUGCAUUUGCAGGUUUUUUUCUGCUUACAUUUACAACCUGGGCUUCAAACCAUGCCCCCAUGUUCAUAUCUCGAGCGUCCACGAGGUCAUUGAUCUACACAAAGCAAAGGACACAGCUCACUAAAAUGGAAAUGAAGCAUUCAUUUCCAUUGCUAUUAAAGAUUAAAUCAUCCCAAGAACCUCAAGAUCAAGAUAUUUAACAGAUCAUCAGAAAAAUUAAGAGCUCCUUCACCUUCCCAAUCCCAGCUGAAAUACAGGUUGAGCCCCUAAGGCUAAAUAUCCACUCUGCACCACCAGCAGCACAAGCAGGCUUCUUACCUAGCACAAACCCUUAUCAGGCAGUCUGUAAGGUACCUAGCUCAUAGUCUGGCAAAGGCAGCACUGGGUCUGCAAUAAAAUCCAUUGAAACAGGCAAGUAAAGGGAUUGUGAGCAGCUGGCUGAGAUUUUCUUUUGCUCAUUCAAGGAAGUUUCAGCUCUGACAAAUGCAGCGACUCCAAGCAGGAAGGAUUCCGAGUUUUUAAACCAAAAUGGGCACUCGGCAUGCUUCUUGUUUGAAUCAGGUCAGGUUUUGGCGUUUUAGUUAAAAGGAUAACAUGAAAGAUAAAGCACUCUGACCUACAACACGUGGCAAUGCACGGCUUUGUGGCACGCUUGCUGGUGCAGGGUUUAAGAAACAGAAGACCAGGACCCACAGAAGGAGGGCACAAAAGUCAAUUCCCCAUAAAAGAGCAAUUCCCCUCUGGGUGCAGCUCCCAGAAUACCAGCUCUGGAGCACCUCACCUUAUAGAGGCCAAAGCCCGGGUCGGUCCAGUCGGGCUGUGCUGCUGUGCCAGGCUGGCCCUCCAGUUCCAGGGCACCUUCCCCAUUGUGAGAGCUUUUGUCGGAUUCGCUUUGGCCUGAGCCACAGCCAGAGUCUGUGUCCGAGAGCUCGGGAUCCUUUUCCUUACUGACAGCGGGAAGCACGGCCGGGCUUUGUCUCACCAGGAGCUGGACAAUGUCAUUGAGGCCGACGCUGUAAUCGAAAAGGGAGUGACCAUCUUCCAUCUGCAGGGAAGCAGUGAAAUCAGGCGGUUAUUGCAGGGCAGAGCCACCCCAUCACGCUGCCUUCAUCCUUAUGUGCUGAGAUGGAGCACGUGGCUUUCAAACCACGAGCAGGCAAGGAACUUGAACUUCAGUGCCUCAGAUCCAUAUGGAUCGCUGUUCUUACCAUGGAAAUGUUCUUGCCUCAGCACUCUGCAAGCCAGGAGAACAAGACCUCCAUACUGCAGUAGACUCAAUGCCCAGAGCAAGCCACAGUGUUGUAGAUCUGAAAGGGUUUGCAGUACAUUCCCAAGACACCAAUUCUGGGAAGGACUUAAAGAACUCCAGAUCCCCUACAUUCCCUAUCAGGAUUUAAAGGUAAUUCCACACUACUUACUAACUCAAAAGGAAGUUCUUUAUUCCUUAAUUCGGACACAUCAGAACAUCAACUUGGACUCAUCUUUAUAUUGGACUCGUGUACGCUCCGGAUGACAGCUCCAGCAUCGCUGCUGACCAUGGGAUCACGCAGAAGCCAGAGCUCAUCACUUGCCUUUCUCUGGGCCAGCACACGAGUGUUCCAUUGAGAGUAAAAUCAAGAGAUUCAACUCAAUGUGAAACUGCCUCCUCUCUCCGAGCACGCCCCAGUUCCUCUCCUAGGACAGGGGGUUGGCUGGCAAGGCUGGCUGCAGACCCUGCCCCUGCAAGUCCACAGGACCACGAGGCCUCUGCAUUCCCUUCCCUGAGCUCCAAGGAGCGCCUCCACUUCAGAGUUAAAGCAUCCUGCUGGAGCCCACAGCGCGGGCAGA